rnacentral:pre_miRNA from 1 species
UUUCUACUCCCUCCGUCCGAAAAAACUUGUCAUCAAAAUGGAUAAAAAGAGAUGUAUCUAAAACUAAAAUACGUCUAGAUACAUUUCCUUUUAUCCAUUUUGAUGACAAGUAUUUCCGGACGGAGGGAGUAUUUG